CAGGUGGACUGGAGACAGGGACAGCCAGGAGUCAUCAGGCCAGGUAGUCCUGAGGCAUGGUCCUAGGGCUCAAGUCCUGCAUCCUUUAUUUAAUGUGUGUAGACUAGAGGUUUUGUAACGUCACAUGAUUUAGCCCACCUGUCAAUCCAGAUCUGAAUAUUUUAUAUCUUUUUUACUGGACACAGUUUUUCCCCCCCGAAGCUAAUCACUGAAUGUCCUACUACAAGGAUGUGGUCAGGUUGACUCAGGUCUGAGUCACAAUAACACAGAUCACACACACCACAGAUUGCGAGGGGAAGUACAAUGAGCAGUAGGGGAAAUGAAGUCUGGUUGCCACACACACACUUCCUUUAGGUUAGUGUGUAGUCAAGGUURUGUCAUUAAAAUAACAUUGUGCCCAGCUUUAAGAUCUGCCAACCUGCUCCGUGGGUGACAGGUAACCGUGUUUCCACCAAGCUGUUCGUGGCCUGGAGUGGCACGCUGGAACUUCCAGAGGCUUGGAGACCUGAAGCCAUGUGAUGUGGUCCAGCUAAUUGUCACACACGUAUACACACUCACUCGGUUUUGUCGUAUAAUUAUUUUCACUUAAGGAAAUUGUACCUUUUUUAAAUUCUUUUAUGUGACACCCCUAUUAGCUCAACCACAGUCCUCACAGCUGCAUUCGUCUGCCCCUGCACCUGCUACACCGGCUGUGACAGGCCUUUCUCCUUUAGAUCUGCCACCCCCAGCAGUUCAGCUGCAGUCACAGCAGUCCUCUGCUGUGGUAUUUCAUUUACCAGCUGCACCAGUUCCUACUACACUGGCCGUGAAGGCAUAMACUUUUGAGGAUUCCCAGAUAGAGACAGAUUGGCCAUGCUCUCCACCAGGGCCYGACAGCCUCACCCAGAAGUGCCUACACUGGGCCGAUCAAGACUGACAAAGCAGAGAUGGGUGGCUGACAAGGAAACAUAAAACAUGCACACACACGCUCUCUCUCUGUGUCUCUGUAUCUCACACACACACACAUUAUCCACAAUAUAAAUAAAUUGUAAUAACUUGUUUAUUUUAUGAAUCUUCCAUUUUAUUUUAGGAUUGGAGAUAUCUACUGUAUGCCUACAUUUCCAU